GCCGUCGGCCGGACCGGCGGCCGGGAAGCCCUUGAGGCCUUCGACGCUCUGCGGCUCCCACUGGAUGCUGCCACAGUUCGACACCGUGCCAUUGGCAC
rnacentral:tRNA from 1 species